AGCGAACGCUGGCGGCAGGCUUAACACAUGCAAGUCGAACGCCCCGCAAGGGGAGUGGCAGACGGGUGAGUAACACGUGGGAACGUACCCUUUGGUUCGGAAUAACUUGGGAAAACUCAAGCUAAUACCGGAUAAGCCCUUAUGGGGAAAGGUUUACUGCCGAAGGAUCGGCCCGCGUCUGAUUAGCUAGUUGGUGAGGUAAUGGCUCACCAAGGCGACGAUCAGUAGCUGGUCUGAGAGGAUGAUCAGCCACACUGGGACUGAGACACGGCCCAGACUCCUACGGGAGGCAGCAGUGGGGAAUAUGGGACAAUGGGGGCAACCCUGAUCCAGCCAUGCCGCGUGAGUGGUGAAGGCCUUAGGGUUGUAAAGCUCUUUUACCCGGGACGAUAAUGACUGUACCGGGAGAAUAAGCCCCGGCUAACUUCGUGCCAGCAGCCGCCGUAA
rnacentral:rRNA from 1 species